GGCAAACGGGUGCGUAACACGUACGCAACUUACCCUUUACUGGAGGAUAGCCCAGGGAAACUUGGAUUAAUACUCCAUAUUAUAUAGAGAAGGCAUCUUCUUUAUAUCAAAGCUUCGGCGGUAAAGGAUGGGCGUGCGGUUGAUUAGAUAGUUGGCGGGGUAACGGCCCACCAAGUCUACGAUCAAUAGCUGAUGUGAGAGCAUGAUCAGCCACACGGGCACUGAGACACGGGCCCGACUCCUACGGGAGGCAGCAGUAAGGAAUAUUGGGCAAUGGACGCAAGUCUGACCCAGCCAUGCCGCGUGAAGGAUGACGGUCCUCUGGAUUGUAAACUUCUUUUAUCUGGGGCGAAAACCACCCUUUCUAGGGUGCUUGACAGUACCAGAUGAAUAAGCACCGGCUAACUCCGUGCCAGCAGCCGCGGUAAUACGGAGGGUGCAAGCGUUAUCCGGAAUCAUUGGGUUUAAAGGGUCCGCAGGCGGGCAUAUAAGUCAGUGGUGAAAGCCUACAGCUCAACUGUAGAACUGCCAUUGAUACUGUAAGUCUUGAAUUCGGUCGAAGUGGGCGGAAUGUGUAGUGUAGCGGUGAAAUGCAUAGAUAUUACACAGAACACCGAUAGCGAAGGCAGCUCACUAGGCCUGGAUUGACGCUCAGGGACGAAAGCGUGGGGAUCAAACAGGAUUAGAUACCCUGGUAGUCCACGCUGUAAACGAUGAUUACUCGUUUUCGGCGAUAUACAGUCGGAGACUAAGCGAAAGUGAUAAGUAAUCCACCUGGGGAGUACGAUCGCAAGGUUGAAACUCAAAGGAAUUGACGGGGGUCCGCACAAG
rnacentral:rRNA from 1 species